GAUGAGGAGCUGGUCCAGGCUGCUGGUGACAUGGAGGAAUAUGAACCUGAAGUGAAACAAUGAACAGGCGGGUCCUUCCACCGCCUCUCUACCUCAGAGGGUGUCCCCUGCUGGACAGGGGGAACCCACCGACGAGGAGCUGCUGGAGGCCACGCAGGAGCAGGGAGAACCUCUGCAGCCGCAGGAUCCUCCAGAGCCACCCUCCACGCAGGAGACCCCGUCCAGACGAGACCCUGU